UUAACUCAAAUUUGUAUGGAGAUGGAAUGUUUGCCUACGUUUGCCGCUAAGGGCGCUGUACCAACUGCAUAGCAAUUUGAUGCUA
rfam:Bombyx mori DNA, contig: Bm_scaf47_contig25571, strain: p50T/Dazao, build 2, whole genome shotgun sequence.